UACGUGGGGUGCGAGCGUUAAUCGGAAUUACUGGGCGUAAAGCGUGCGCAGGCGGUUCGUUGUGUCGGUGGUGAAAGCCCCGGGCUUAACCUGGGAAUGGCCAUGGAAACUGGCGAACUGGAGUGUGGCAGAGGGGGGUGGAAUUCCGCGUGUAGCAGUGAAAUGCGCAGAUAUCAGGAAGAACACCCGUGGCGAAGGCGGCUCUCUGGAACGCAACUGACGCUGAGACGCGAAAGCGUGGGGAGCAAACAGG
rnacentral:rRNA from 1 species